rnacentral:rRNA from 1 species
AUGGCCGGCAGGAAGGGCGUCGCGAGGAAGAAGGCGGUCACCCGCUCCGUCAGGGCCGGGCUCCAGUUCCCCGUCGGCCGCAUCGGGCGCUACCUCAAGAAGGGCCGCUACGCGCAGCGCGUCGGCUCCGGCGCCCCUGUCUACCUCGCCGCCGUCCUCGAGUACCUCGCCACCGAGGUAAGUACCGAUUUUGUUCGACAUCUGAUCUGCCUCCUCCUCGAGCAUCUGCCUUUUUGCCCGGUCCCGUUCCUCUCGUGCUGGACGGAUGACCGAGUCCUGGAGCUCGCUGGCGACGCAGCCAAGGAAAGCAAGAAGGCCCGCAUCAUCCCGCGCCACCUGAUGAUCGCCGUCCAGGGCGACCCGGAGCUCAGCCGGCUGCUUGCCGGCGUCACCAUCGCCUACGGCGGCGUGGUGCCCUACAUCAACUCCGCGCUGCUCCCCAAGAAGGGCGCCGGCGCCGCGGGGAAGGAGCCCAAGAAGAAGGCCGCUGCUACCAAGUCCCUCAAGAAGAAGGCCGCAGCCACAAAUUAA